AUGGGGCGCCAGCAGGCAGUCAAGUCACGCGAUGUACACCCUCUAGUGCCACCAGGAUUUAUCGAAAAUCUUGGGGUAUCGGAUGGAAUAUGCCUCAUAGCACUGACGUGCAUACUGGCCAGCUGUCUAGUCAAUUUCCAAGUGUCUCAAUUAAGCGAUGAUGGUUUUACCAACAAAGAAUAUAGUGAGUUGGUAACUGGCACAAUGGAGGUUGCCAUCUCCGUCCCAUAUAUAGUUGUGAAAUCGCACGAGUGCUUGUCCAAUCUGCGGGUGCAGAAGUCAUGGAUCACAUGCCGUCCUAAUGUCCAGAUUUUCAGAGACACAUUCAUUCUUGUGCUGAUAGCUUACGUGAUAUUAGUGGACAUCAGCUUGAGCUUCGCCUGGCUGGCCAUCUUUCCUGCCAUAGCCCUUGUUUUCAUACGAGCGAUGCACCUCAAGUUCAGUCGGCGUACAGGGGGCAGCAGUCGUAAAGUUAAUCAAGGAUCUUCUAACGUCGCUGAGACUAAAAUGAAAACUAUGGAGGUUGGGAUCAUUGUGAUGAUGACGCUGGGGGCGCUACUGCUUAUGGACCAGCUUCCAGACCAUGCAGCUGCCCAGUUCACCAUCUCACAGUUCCUCCUGUUCCUAAGCUGCACGGUGGCGGCAUUGACGCGCAUGGUGAUGAAGCUGCCCGCUGGCGCCUCACCGGGCAUAGCACUGGCGACGGAGAUGCUCCACAAGACCUUGCUUCUCCUCCUGCUGGCGACGGCGCACACCACGGCCGCAGAGUGGCUGGGCGAGGAUGUUGUUCUGCUAUGCUUGCCGGAGGUCAUCCCUGUGCUUCUCUGGUUCAGCCUCCAUCUCGACCGUAAACCAGGAAGCAGCUCCAUCAUCAGCGUUGACAAGUUGAAACCACACAUAAAUUGGUUCAUCUUCCUCGGUGCAAUGGUGGUAGCUCCUCCUUUUGCUUACCUGGCCAACUCCAUGGAUGAAGUUGGGCUCUCCGGCUGGUCUACGACAUUCCAGGUGUCAUGUGGCGUCUCAGGGAUUCUGAGCUACUACCUUGUGUUCAUGCUAAGUCACUGGCCGAAGAAACAAGUAGCAGCUGCUGGCAAGGAUGGUGGGGCUUCCGGUAUGCUCAAAUUAUGGGCAUACGCUUUACUCAUAGCGGCGGCUGCGUCCCUGCUGCUCAGGUGUCUGGUUUCUGCCCGGCUUGGUCUGCAACUACCACUGCAUGCAACGGUUAUAUAUGUUAGUAAUGCUUUGGGUUUUAACUACUCAAAUUAG
rnacentral:rRNA from 1 species